ensembl:lncRNA
CGUGGCCAAUCUCCAGGACUUCAGGGAUCAAGUGUUAUGUUUUUAAUAUUGGUGGCUGACAGUGGAUAUGAACAACACUAUAGGGCUGCAAGCAUCUUGUCUUGUAUGCACAUAGCAUCUGGAACGGCAGAGAUGACUUUGUGAUCUGCAACCAGCAGAACUUAAUGCCCCAAAACCAAGGGAAGCAGGGUUAAGAAGAAUGGUGAAGAGGAAGAAACAUAAAACCUAAGUCCUCCAUCUGCUACUUCAUGGCCUGUUGCAUGAUGGAGGAAUAGCCCUAUUGUCACUGAGCUGCAAGUAGAAAAGACACCAGUGCUCCAUGCUGUCCUGAGAUCCUGUGCUGGGAGUGGAGGAAGGGGAGAAGGGAGGCAGUGGUGUACUGGAACCAGUGUGUUUUCUCCCCAUGUAAAUCCUUACGUGCUUUGCCUUGCGCAGCCCCACACAGCCACAACUCGGUGGAAUUUGCAGAGUUGUCCACAAACUUCCAAAAAAUAUCACAUCAACUAUCAGCCAACAGGAGAUGGUUUCUCUUGGAACUUGUGCUCUAUUGAAAUUUAGAUUCUGAAGCCCACUGAAGAAAACAAUCACUGCAAAGAAGUACCAAAUCUCUUGCAAACUCUCCCCUGAUCACUGCAUUCAAAGAUCUACCAGCAGCUGUUGAUGUAACGUUAUGGAUGUUUAGCAGGACUUCCUGUAUCUAAUGAACACAGCUCUUUCAGUGAGGAGACAAAGUGCAAUGCUGUCCCAGGAAAAUAAAAACGAUGUAACAUUCAGUCAGGAAUGCACUUACUACACGGCCUGGAAUCAGGAAUUGAUCUCAUGCCUCUGUAACAAAGAUCCCAUCUGUAGUCCCAUGUGGGGAGGGCACUGACACUGCUUCAGAAAGGACGUGGUUAUCCUGCUCCCAAAAGGAACCGAUUAGGGGAGAUGUUCCAGAAGCUAUUCGAUACAGACUGCACAACUCAGGAUGCCAUUCGUACAGAUGUACCCAGGGAUAUGGGAAGCAGAAUACGAAGUUGUGAGGUGGUGUUGGAAACAAGGACGAGGCAACACAGGCAGCUUGUAAGAAAGGCUUUCAGCAUCUUUUGUCAAAUAUCCAACUUGUGGAAACUGUGCAAGCAAGGGAGUUUUGCUUCAUCAAUACUAUAAAAUAAACUGAAGUUAAAAUGGGUGCUGCCCAAUCCAAUUGUCAAACACUGCUGCCGCAAUACAAAGACAAAUGUUUAUUGGCUUAACUUUGAAACUGCAGUAAAUGCUCUUCUAUUCAAUUAGAUAAACAAAUACAGUACUGAGUAUAUAAUGGGGUCCUUUCAAGUAAAUUAUGCUUCCUAACUCAUGUGUAAAAGAAAAAUGGCUUUUAAUGUUUAUAUUCCUGUAAAAUAAGAAACCAUCAAGGCUCUCC